rnacentral:rRNA from 1 species
CCUACGGGGGGCAGCAGUAGGGAAUAUUGCUCAAUGGGGGAAACCCUGACGCAGCAACGCCGCGUGGAGGAUGAAGGUUUUCGGAUUGUAAACUCCUUUUGUUAGAGAAGAUGAUGACGGUAUCUAACGAAUAAGCACCGGCUAACUCCGUGCCAGCAGCCGCGGUAAUACGGAGGGUGCAAGCGUUACUCGGAAUCACUGGGCGUAAAGCGCGCGUAGGCGGGAUAGCAAGUCAGAUGUGAAAUCCUAUGGCUUAACCAUAGAACUGCAUUUGAAACUGGUAUUCUAGAGUAUGGGAGAGGUAGGUGGAAUUCUUGGUGUAGGGGUAAAAUCCGUAGAGAUCAAGAGGAAUACUCAUUGCGAAGGCGACCUGCUAGAACAUAACUGACGCUGAUGCGCGAAAGCGUGGGGAGCAAACAGGAUUAGAUACCCGGGUAGUC